AGUGGCGAACGGGUGAGUAACGCGUGGAUGAUCUACCUACGAGAUGGGGAUAACUAUUAGAAAUAGUAGCUAAUACCGAAUAAGGUCAAUUAAUUUGUUAAUUGAUGAAAGGAAGCCUUUAAAGCUUCGCUUGUAGAUGAGUCUGCGUCUUAUUAGUUAGUUGGUAGGGUAAAUGCCUACCAAGGCGAUGAUAAGUAACCGGCCUGAGAGGGUGAACGGUCACACUGGAACUGAGAUACGGUCCAGACUCCUACGGGAGGCAGCAGCUAAGAAUCUUCCGCAAUGGGCGAAAGCCUGACGGAGCGACACUGCGUGAAUGAAGAAGGUCGAAAGAUUGUAAAAUUCUUUUAUAAAUGAGGAAUAAGCUUUGUAGGAAAUGACGAAGUGAUGACGUUAAUUUAUGAAUAAGCCCCGGCUAAUUACGUGCCAGCAGCCGCGGUAAUACGUAAGGGGCGAGCGUUGUUCGGGAUUAUUGGGCGUAAAGGGUGAGUAGGCGGAUAUAUAAGUCUAUGCAUAAAAUACCACAGCUCAACUGUGGAACUAUGUUGGAAACUAUAUGUCUAGAGUCUGAUA
rnacentral:rRNA from 1 species